GUUACCUGUUACAUCUCAGGACAACAGGUGUGUACAUGUGGUUUAAAGACUACUUUACACGCUAUGUCAACCUUUUCCAGCGUGUCUUUACAGUAGCAAAAUGUAUGUUUGAGGACUAUAUCAGACAACAUGGGUUGCCAGAGUGUAGUCACACAGACCAGGUAGGCAAUUGGAGUCAGACCUUGUAAAACACUUUGGAAAACCUUGCUGGAAUAGUUACCUCUACUGCCCCCCAGUGGCCGUUAGAAAGGAUGCACACAUUUUGUGUUGAAGUCCUUAAAGCUGUCUUUCACUUUUUGUCUUGUCCUUUGUGUCCCAGAUGAAGUCGUGAGUGGCUCGGGGGAGGAUAGGCGGGACAUUAGCUCGGAAACAUUCUUCUUUUCUUUUUUACAAGAACUUUGCUGACAAAGUGCAAGUGUUUGUGGGCGUUACUGUACAUGUUGGUAUUGAUCACACCACCCAGUAAAUUCAAGGAACGUUUUCAAAAUCAUUAAAUGAUUUUAGACUUUCAUUUUGUGAACAAUAUAAACAUAUAUUAAUAUAAACAUAUGGAGGAGUCAGAUAGGGGUGGUUAGGGCAUCUGGUCAGGAUGCCACCUGAACGCAUAGGGAGGUGUUUAGGACACGUCUGACCGGUAGGAGGCCACCAGGAAGACCCAAGACACCUUGGGAACGCCUCGGGAUCCAGGAGCUGGACGAAGUGGCUGGGGAGAGCGAAGUGUGGGUUUCCCUGCUUAGGCUGCUGCCCCCGCGACCCGACCUCAGAUAAGCGGAAGAAGACGGAUGGAUGGAUGAAUAAACAUAUAUGAAUACAACAAUAGUCGUGUGGAGAGAGAGUUUGGCCAACCCGGGUUUGGAGUCAGUGUCUAACAAGGCGCCCUCUAGUCACCUGAGGGGAUUUGACCAACUAUUACAUCUCAUGCUCUUCGUAUGUACCUAUCUUUAAUGUUUAUAGUACACAAUGAAUCAUAUUUAGCUGUGAAAUGUGUGUUUUUUAUGAUGUUAGACGAUCUCUGAUUACAUCACUUGUCCAUGCCAGCUAACUUUCAUUUGUUGUCAUCUGCCUCCAUCUAGUGGACGUUUGUUGUACUGUUACUUAUAGAAUUCACCGGUAAAUAGUAGACAUCUCAUCUGUCACUGGUAUUUAGUCAUUAUAACAAUACAUACAGUGGUGUGUGACAAAGUUAAACUUAGAUUUAAGUCACAUGGAAUACUUAAUAAUCUGUGGUCUGUGAUAUGACAUUAUUAAGUUCAUUUAAUUCAUGCAUUUACAAUGUUUGUGUCCUACAGUUUCACCCUUUCAAUUGUCAAUCAACCUGGCCUCCAUCAGUCAACCUGGUGUUCAGAGGGAAUUAAAAAAAGGGAAUAAGCGGUAGGAAAUGGAUGGACAAGGUGUAUCGCCACAAUUUUAACCACUUUUGUCAUUGCAAUGAAUGACGCACGGGGGCGCCACUAACUCCCAUCGCAUCAUUUAUUUUUUAAAUGAUGAUAUUUUUUAAACCAAAUACUUACUGAAACCUAACAAAAAAUAUAUUUUACCUUUUCAGAAAUAAAUGAAUUAUUAUAAAAUAGUAAAAAAAAAAAUCGUUUUGUUUUCCAUUUAAGGCUGCUAGAUACAUCUUUAAGGUGUGCGAUUUCAUAAAGAACAACGUAUUUUUUAAUGUUUGUUUUGUAUGUAAUGGUUUAUGAUGACAUUGUUAUUGAAGUACAGAUGACACCAAAGAACGCGACCACCAAAAGGGGAAUAAGCGGUAGAAAAUGGAUCGAUGGAAGGACUAAAGAAGCAUGGGUCGCAAGGGGUGCUGGAGCCUAUCUCAGCUACAUUCGGGCGAAAGGCGGGGUAUACCCUGGACAAGUCGCCACCUCAUCACAGAGCCAACACAGAUAGACAGACAACAUUCACACACUAGGGCCCAUUUAGUGUUGCCAAUCAACCUAUCCCCAGGUGCAUGUCUUCGGAGGUGGGAGGGGCCUAUCCCCAGGUGCAUGUCCUUGGAGGUGGGAGGGGCCUAUCCCCAGGUGCAUGUCUUUGGAGGUGGGAGGAAGCCGCAGUACCCGGAGGGAACCCACGCAGUCACGGGGAGAACAUGCAAACUCCACACAGAAAGAUCCGAACCCAGGACCUUGGCAUUAUGAGGCACACAUACCAGUGUUUCCAUAUAUAGGAUUGGUACCUAACAGAACUACACCUAGAAUUGGUUGUCUGUAUAAUAAAAGCAUUCUCAGGCCCCUGCAGUCUACAUAUAAACUUAAACAUCAGUUUUCUCAGGGUGGCGUGGAAGGUGUUUAUCCCUAAAUGACAAAAAAGCUUGCUGGCACUACUACCCCUGGCCUUUCUGAGCAGGAUUCUGAGACACUCAUUAUAUGCAAGCUGGAGUUUGUGCAAGUUCUUUUUCUUGAACCUCACCCAGAGGGGUGCUGUGUACAUAGUGGUGCAGUAAGCUCUAAACAAGUACACCUUUGCCUUAUCAGAGCAGUAAUGACAUUUUCUCACCAGCAUAUUGGCUUUCUUCUCGGUCUAAGCAUGUCAGCAUCAUCUUCCAUCUUGUCAUUGAUGAUGCGGCCUAAGUAUUUGACAUUGUUGCACACAGACAGGGUUUGACCAGACAAAUAGAAACCUUGGAAAUGAGGAUGUUGAUCCUCCUUGGUCCUACAUAUCAUUACCAUACUCUUUGUGGCUGACUCCAAAGUGUGAGCAUAUGUUAAGAAGCUGCUGGAACCCUGCACUACUGGGAGAUAUAAUGGCCAAAUCAUCAGCGUACAUCAAGUGGUUGAUGAAGGUGUUCCCCAUCAUGCAUUCUGUUCUGCCUGGUGAUAGAAGCCCACCCUGCCGUACCCCAUUGCCAACUCUAAAGAGAGAGGAUAAACUACUCCCCCAUUUGACCUGCAUGGUCUGCCUGUGGUAGCAAUAUGCCAGAAUAUACCCACAACACCCCUGUGCUUCAGAUUGCUGAAGAGUUGGAGAUGGUUGACUCUGUCAAAUGCCUUAGAUGCGUCAAUAAACCCCACCGACAUUGUAGAA